ensembl:snoRNA
CCUGCUCCUGGAGACAUUGGGGAUGUGGCUGCUGUGACACUUGUGUGUCAGUAGGGGGCCAAGAGCAGAGAGGCUUUGUCUAUGCUCAGUGUUCUGACCUGCCAACAGCUGAAUGGUGAGCAGCCUAAUAUU